UAUGCUGCGAGGGCGUUUACCUCGAUAGAUGUUGAAAAUGCCCACAGCAUUAUAAAUCAUUUGGACCGCCGAGGGGUCCAAAACUCCUCAAUCGAAGAGCUUAGUAGACAUGCCAGCAACCUACAGAGACUUCAAAUUCUCAGGAAACCUCUCUAGGACGGAAGCUUUAUACUCCGACAUCCACAAUUUACCACGCCCCUGAGAUCGACAAAGGUCUUUCUGAUAGAUUGACUUCCAGCCAAUUCGAUCUAUCGAAGCCGAGUGGGAAGAACAAAGAACUGAAACCCCAUGGUCGCAACGAUGCUCCUCGCGGACAAGGGAGAGUUAGGGCCAUCGGUGGUCACAAGACUGCAGAAUAUUUAUUUUUUAAGCGUUGAGGUUGUCACGAAAGCGUACUGUAACGGGACUAUCAGAUUUGAGUGAUUUGAUUUUGUGAUUUGCAGUUCACGUGAUUUUAUUGUGAUUUUAGACUGUAAAAACUAUAAAGGUUCAAGUUGAACUAUCGUCGCCAUGAUUAUGUAUUUUGGAACUGUUCACGUUGAAAUUGCUUCGUUAA